rnacentral:rRNA from 1 species
AUUGAACGCUGGCGGCAGGCCUAACACAUGCAAGUCGAACGAGUGGCGGACGGGUGAGUAAGGUCUGGGAAACUGCCUGAUGGAGGGGGAUAACUACUGGAAACGGUAGAUAAUACCGCAUACCAUCAGAUGUGCCCCGAUGGGAUUAGAUAGUUGGUGGGGUAACGGCUCACCAAGGCGACGGUCCCUAGCUGGUCUGAGAGGAUGACCAGCAACACUGGAACUGAGCCACGUCCCAGACUCCUACGGGAGGCAGCAGUGGGGAAUAUUGCACGAUGGGCGCAAGCCUGAUGCAGCCAUGCCGCGUGUAUGAAGAAGGCCUUCGGGUUGUAAAGUACUUUCAGCGGGGAGGCGUUACCCGCAGAAGAAGCACCGGCUAACUCCGUGCCAGCAGCCGCGGUAAUAC